ACAUCCUUCACUCUUGGUCGAUUUUAUAAUGCGAUAUCCCAGGACAAUGUAUCGCUGACCCUUUCAUUUAUUAAGCACAUGCGGAAGUAGUUAAAAUCCCUAGACAAUAAAACAAUGGGAUAGAAAAGCAUGGCCAUAUUUUUCAUAUUGAAAUUUAUAACCAAACUUUUAUACAAAACACAAAUCACUUCAUAACUAUUCACAUCAAAAUGAAUUCUCAAAACAGCCCAUCCAGGCCAUACUCAAGGCCCCUCUCGGGAUUAUCUUCUUCUUCCAAAAUCCUUCUACUCAGGUUUCACCUCCGAGUUCUCCUUCUCAGAUUCCUCCUCAGCUCCUCAACGGGGUCCUGAAAUGUUUUUCCCCAAACUGGGAUGAGACUACGUCUCAGCGAGUUCUACCCCACUAAGCCCGAUUAGUAAACCAUUAUACUAUAGGCUGCCUAAACACGCACAGGUGAGGGGACUUACCUUGGCCUCAGAUCCCACCUGCAAGUCAGUAUAAUUCAUAAUAGGCACACAAGCAAUCACAUCACCGAUCGAAGCAUCGAUCAAAUCGACCUAGUCGAUUACCUGAUAACGAGACCGCCCAUGGUCAUUUCCAUUCAAUCAAUCAAUUCAUAACCUCAUAUCAAAGCAAUGAUCAAUCGACUUAGUCGAUUACAUGUCGCCACGACCCAUGCUUGGUCGGCACAUUCAAUGCUAUUUAUAAGUCCGACCAUAGUCCAGGACUGCUCACUCUAAACUGAUAUAUCGCCCGUAGGCUGAUAUAGUAUACUCUCGAUUCUCACACUCAAUUAAUCAUGCAUUCUUAGAUUUGAUCUCGGCAUAUAGCACGGCCUACUCUCAGUUCGGCGGUCUUCUGGCAUUGCCAGGCAUCGCCUCCCCCCAUGGAGCGCGGCUUCGUCAUUACGUCGACGGCAUUCCCGAAGGAGCAUCGUCUCCCCCCUUGGAGCACGGCUUCGUCACUACGUCGACGGCAUUCCCGAAGGAGCAUAGGGUCCAGAAUCAACUGCGACCGGCUUCUCGUUGUCUAGGGGGUAUCCCACAUAGGGAUAACGUCCAGCUCAAUAGCCCGGGACGAUUUCUCAAUGAAAUAAUUAACCACAACCAUUUAGGAAUAUAUCCUAAAUUCCACAUUCAAUUCAAUUUGGCACAAUUCAAAGCUCAAAUAAAUAAACAGACUGCGCCACGACAAUCAGCACAAGAUUUUGGUCGUCGGCCAUCUCCAACUUAAUUUCCGAAAAAUAAAUAAAUAAUUAAUUAAUUUCGAAAAUUAAUUAAUAAAUAUUAAAAAUUCAAUUUAGCACAAACUAAAACUCAAUUAAAUAAACGGACUUGACCACGGUCAUCAGCAUAAUUUUCCGGUUCCAGGCCAUCUCAGUUGAAUUUUCGGAAAAUAAAUAAAUAAUUAAUUAAUUUCGAAUAUUAAAUAAUUAAUAUUAAAAAUCCCAUUUAGCUCAAAUUAAAGCCCGAUUAAAUAAACGGACUUCACCACAAUCAUCUGCAUAAUUUUCCGGUCACGGGCCAUCCUAGUUAAAUUUUCAGGAAAUAAAUAAAUAAUUAAUUAAUUCCGAAAAUUAAAUAAUUAAUAUUAAAAAUUCAAUUUAGCUCAAAAUAAAGCCCGAUUAAAUAAACGGACUUCACCACAGUCAUCAGCAUAAUAUUGCGGUUCCGGACCAUCUCCCUUGAAUUUUCGGAAAAUAAAUAAUUAUUUAAUUUAAUUCCGAAAAUUAAUAUUUAAAUGUCAAAAAUCCCACUUAGGCCCGAAUCGCCAAAUUGAAGCCCAAUUAGGGGUCGGAAAAUUCCCGAGAUGCUUCCAACAAAUAGUAGACCACGUCUACUUGUUAAUUGCACAAUCAAUUUAUCUAAAUCGCAUCACAAUUGACUAAUAAUUGCUAAUUUAUUCUAAUCUAACAACCUAAACAUAAUUAAUUAAAACUAAACCAACCUUAAAGCAUAAUUAGUCAACUAAUCUAGGAUUAGUGAGAUUACUCACCAGAUCGCGCGCAAAUCGGAUCAAUCUGACGGCGGCGACGCGAGGAACGAUAAACUCCAAAGCACGGCUCGGGUUUGGGGCCCAGAAACGGCCCAAAACGGCCUUGAACAGUGCUGGAAACCCAUUUUUCCAGCUGCUGUUCAUGGCCAAACGAGGCUGCUCCGGUGGAUGAGAUGGCGGAGCAAGGCCGGCGGAGGGCAAGGGGAACGCCGGGGAGGUCGGGUGGAGCUGGGCGGUGGCCGGAGGUGGCCGGACGGGGGCUGGUCGGGGCGGAACCGAGCUGGGUCGCGGCUGGAUCGCACGGCUUGGGCGCGCACGGACGGGUGGCUGGACGGCGGCGAGGGGCGGGCGCACGGGCACGACGCGAGCGUGCAGGGCGGCGGCGGAACGGGCAGCGACGGGGAGCUGCGAUCGCGCGGCUCCUGCUCGAGCUUCCUCCUCUGGUUUGCUUCUUCGGAUGCGUGGGGAGGAAGAAGAAGAAAAAGAGAGAGAGAGAGAGAGAAGAGAGAGAGAUAACCUU
rnacentral:lncRNA from 1 species